rnacentral:rRNA from 1 species
UACGGAGGUCGCAAGCGUUGUUCGGAAUCACUGGGCGUAAAGCGCGUGUAGGCGGCUUGGCAAGUCGGGUGUGAAAUCCCGAGGCUCAACCUCGGAACUGCACUCGAAACUGCCUGGCUCGAGUCCCGGAGAGGGUGGCGGAAUUCCCGGUGUAGGGGUGAAAUCCGUAGAUAUCGGGAGGAACACCAGUGGCGAAGGCGGCCUCCUGGACGGUGACUGACGCUGAGGCGCGAAAGCGUGGGGAGCAAACAGG